rnacentral:rRNA from 1 species
GACGAACGCUGGCGGCGUGCUUAACACAUGCAAGUCGAACGGAAAGGCCCCUUUGGGGGUACUCGAGUGGCGAACGGGUGAGUAACACGUGCGUAACCUGCCCUUGACUUCGGGAUAACUUCAGGAAACUGGGGCUAAUACCGGAUAGGAAUCCUUGCUGCAUGGUGGGGGUUGGAAAGCUUCGGCGGUUUUGGAUGGACUCGCGGCUUAUCAGCUUGUUGGUGGGGUAGUGGCUUACCAAGGCUUUGACGGGUAGCCGGCCUGAGAGGGCGACCGGCCACAUUGGGACUGAGAUACGGCCCAGACUCCUACGGGAGGCAGAAGUGGGGAAGAUUGCACAAUGGGCGGAAGCCUGAUGCAGCAACGCCGCGUGCGGGAUGACGGCCUUCGGGUUGUAAACCGCUUUCAGCAGGGGCGAAGCUUGUGGUGACGGUACCUGCAGAAGAAGCACCGGCUAACUACGUG